UACGUAGGGGCCUAGCGUUGUCCGGAUUUAUUGGGCGUAAAGAGCUCGUAGGCGGUUCGGCAAGUCAGGUGUGAAAUCUCCACGCUCAACGUGGAGGCGCCACCUGAAACUGCUGUGACUCGAGUCCGGUAGGGGAGUGUGGAAUUCCCGGUGUAGCGGUGAAAUGCGCAGAUAUUGGGAAGAACACCGGUGGCGAAGGCGGCGCUCUGGACCGAGACUGACGCUGAGGCGCGAAGGCGUGGGGAGCAAACAGG
rnacentral:rRNA from 1 species